UGCCCCAUGGCUGAGUUGGUUACAGCGUCCGACUGUUAUUAUUCAUCUGACAUCGGAAGGUCGUGAGUUCGAGCCUCACUGGGGCAG